GACAAACUACCUAAAUCGAUAGAUUUUUUUUCAACCUCACAGAGUCACCAAAAAGAAAAAAAAAGACGAAUCUUUACCGAUAAGAUUCUGAAAAAAAUAGGCAUGAUUGAAAUAUAGAAAAUCUUGGCCAUUUUCUUCUGGCAAACAACAACAAUAACAAAAU